rnacentral:lncRNA from 1 species
GUUGAGGGUGGGCAGCAGCCAUUGACUGGACAUCUGAAUCGGGGUGGGGUGAGUGCGACCAGCGCAGGUCAGGCAUCCAGGAAUACUUUCUAAAAUUCUCCUUUCUACCUGGUUUCUAAAUACCUCCCUUGCCGUCCUCUCUCUCCUCUAUCCAGAAUUGGAGGUGGAAAAGCUGAACUGGGAGAUAAAGGUGCGAGAGAAGUCAUAAAUACAAGUACCACUACACAAACUAGAAUAUGUGGGUGCUCUUCCCCCAGUUUGUUGUGCAGCACAAAGGAGGUGAACAACAAGUGGUGAAUCUUCAGAAUUGAAGAAGAGAGUAAGAGGAGUGUGAUAUAAUGUUGAGGGGUUAUCCAGAAACCUGGUCCAGAUGGCCUAAGUUAAAAGGGAAUAGUCUACCUAAUGGAACUCUUACAUGUUAAAAGGCCUGCUUUAAGUCUGGUCACUUCUGCAAGGAAGGAAAGGAGGAGGAGUCCGGUUCAAAUCUCUGGAGGUUUGUGCAAAGAGGGGCAACACAGGAGACAGCUACAGAGUAAUAUGGCAGAUAUCUUUGAUCCAAGUGGUUGCAGGGCCUUCUCUACCUCACCUACUCCAUGUCAAGUUUGCACACUGCCACAGAAACCCUCGCAUUUCCUGCAGGGUAUACUAGGAAUAUUGGAGUAGGUGUGGACUGGGCUGUGAAUGGGAGAGAAAUACUUGAGAGUAGAGACCAGGAGACAGAAAAUAUUAGGCAUAUUAGACCUUUAAAAGAGAAAGAUGUUUGUAUCGGGGUCAGGGUUCUCACUUGUCUUUCUAGCAGUUAGGCUCCAUUCUCUAUUAUAUGUUUACUUGUUCUCAGGAUAGCCUACAGGCUGCUGUAGAGUUUGACACCACUGGAAUCAAAGAAAGGAGCAAGAAAUUGUGCUACAUCAGUGCAGGUUGGUAUGGGAGCGGGUACAGCUUUUGGGUGGGGUAGAAGAGACCAGCAUAAGUCCAGCAGUGACUAGGGUCUGGCCUUGGGGCUCCUCAGCCUCUCUCAUUGCCAAUUUCCACCAACUUCAUACCUAUUUUAUAACAGGCAAAGUAAUAUGGCAGCUCUAGGGAUAAAAAUUGUAGACAAAAUGAAGGUGAUAGACUUUAAUAGCCUAACUUUCCCACCAAGCAUUUAAGGUCUAGUCUCUCUGUGUGAGUUUUUGCAUGGAGUGAGACAGUUGGAAACGACUCAAACCUCCAUGUCAUUCUCACUUCCCAGAUUGACUUCCAGUGGCAGCUCUGGUGGUGUUGGAAUUGCUGCUGAGCACUACCUUCAACAGGUGUGUACCUACCCAGGAACCAUCCAUCCUCUCCCAGCUUGGUUGUGUUUUCUCUUCACUCUGACUGUAAUAUUGACUGAGGCUGGGAUUGGAAAGGAGGCUUAUUGACUGCUGGACUGGUGAUUGGCUCUAACUUUUCUUUCCAACUGUAUCACCUGAGUCAUCAAAAAAUUAGAGUGUGAAGAUACAAAACUGUGAGAAAUCUGUGGUAGAAGCUGAGACUGGGAUAGUUGUAGUUAUUCAG